rnacentral:rRNA from 1 species
AGCAGCCGCGGUAAUUCCAGCUCCAAUAGCGUAUAUUAAAGUUGUUGCAGUUAAAAAGCUCGUAGUUGAAUUUCGGGAUCAAAUUGUCGGUCGUGCCUCGGUACGUACUGGUAUUAUUGGUUCCUCCCUUCUGACGAACCACGAUGUCAUUAAUUUGGUGUCAUGGGGAAUCAGGACUGUUACUUUGAAAAAAUUAGAGUGUUUAAAGCAGGCUCGCGCUUGAAUACAUUAGCAUGGAAUAAUGAAAUAGGACGUUUGAUUCUAUUUUGUUGGUUUCUAGGAUCGACGUAAUGAUUAAUAGGGAUAGUUGGGGGCAUUAGUAUUCAAUUGUCAGAGGUGAAAUUCUUGGAUUUAUUGAAGACUAACUACUGCGAAAGCAUUUGCCAAGGAUGUUUUCAUUAAUCAAGAACGAAAGUUAGGGGAUCGAAGACGAUCAGAUACCGUCGUAGUCUUAACCAUAAACUAUGCCGACUAGGGAUCGGAUGAUGUUAAUUUUUAAUGACUCAUUCGGCGCCUUACG